rnacentral:rRNA from 1 species
AGAGUUUGAUCCUGGCUCAGGAUGAACGCUGGCGGCGUGCCUAAUACAUGCAAGUCGAGCGGUAAGGCUCCUUCGGGAGUACACGAGCGGCGGACGGCUGAGUAACGCGUAGGAACGUACCCCAAAGUGAGGAAUAAGCACCAGAAAUGGUGUCUAAUGCCGCAUGUGAUCUUCGGAUUAAAGCUUCGGUGCUUUGGGAG